rnacentral:rRNA from 1 species
AUUGAACGCUGGCGGCAGGCCUAACACAUGCAAGUCGAGCGGACGAAGGGAGCUUGCUCCUGGAUUCAGCGGCCGACGGGUGAGUAAUGCCUAGGAAUCUGCCUGGUAGUGGGGGCUAACGUCCGGACACGGGCGCUAAUACCGUAUACGUCCUGAGGGAGAAAGGGGGGGAUCUUCGGACCUCACGCUAUCAGAUGAGCCUAGGUCGGAUUAGCUAGUUGGUGGGGUAAAGGCCUACCAAGGCGACGAUCCGUAACUGGUCUGAGAGGAUGAUCAGUCACACUGGAACUGAGACACGGUCCAGACUCCUACGGGAGGCAGCAGUGGGGAAUAUUGGACAAUGGGCGAAAGCCUGAUCCAGCCAUGCCGCGUGUGUGAAGAAGGUCCUCGGAUUGUAAAGCACUUUAAGUUGGGAGGAAGAGCAGUAAGUUAAUACCUUGCUGUUUUGACGUUACCAACAGAAUAAGCACCGGCUAACUUCGUG